rnacentral:lncRNA from 1 species
UGUUCAUUUUUAACAUAAAACAGAAGAGAUCCAAUACAAGAAGAAGACAUGAUCCAUGAACUUGUGUGACUUUCAUGACUUUAACCAAACCAAUCAGAGGUUAACAAUGGUGGGCUUAAAGUCAACUAUAAUAACCUUUUCCAAGCUAGGAAGAAACAAAUUUGCAAACUCAACAUGUGCAGGAUGAGCCCCAUACUCUGCAAUGGCUUCCACACUAUCAAAGGUUGAUUCAAACACAUGAGUAAAACCUUGGUGCAGGUUUUCAGCACUUACAUCCGUGCCCCUAUAAUACAUAUACGAGGAUUGUUAAUUUCAUAGAUCUAGAUCUUAGAAUUCUACAAUUUUGGUUGAUUGGAAAGAGAUCCAGAUUCUGCAAAUCGAAAAGGAAAACAGGGUUGAAUGAAAUAGUGAGUAGGUACCAGUGGAAUGACUUCAUGACUGGGAUGAGAUUGACGAGAUUGGCAUAGCCCUUGAUGAGUUCGUCGAUUCGCUGUUGAGUGAUGUCGUCCUUGAACUUUCCGAGGAGUAUGUGUAUCACUAUUCCAUUUGCUUCUGCCAUUUCUUUUCUUCCUUUUCGUUUCCCACUUGCUAAACUAUAGUCUCUCCGAAAUAAUACUUUAAUAAUGCUGCACCGUAGCUGUACACAUAUGUUCAAUCAAAAUACUUUAAGAUAUUAAAUCAUAUAAAUAAUUUAAAAUUUACACGGACUUGAUCGAGAAACAUGAAUGUCGUUGGUUGUCAGUGUAAAAAUAAUUUUCAGUCAAAGUUGAUCAUCCUUUUUUUUUUAAAAUAAAUAUCACUUUAAUAAAAUAAAUUGUUUUAAAAUAGAUCUCAUUUUUUCACUUUUCACUUUAAUAAAGGAAAGAAAGCCUCAAUCAGAACCAGCUAAGUGUCUGACUUUAUUUGUCAUGGUUCCCCACUAUUGUGUCUAACAAAUGAAGGCUAUCUUUAUUUAACAUUAAUCUAACCAAAGAUUUUAAUGGCUUCAUCUUAGUGAAGAUGCAAUUGUUUACAAUUCCUUUAUUGAAUAAAUUUGAAACCUGAAAGUAGAGGCUUUGCCAUGAACGUCGAAAGCUAAAAACAUGUGUCAAGAACAACUAGUAAAACUAAUGAGCUUUAUAUAAUCAAGCUUGCUAUUAAGAAACCAAAUGUGAUUUUAGGACAAGUAUGCUUGAGAGCCAUUGCCAAGAAACUAAUGAGGUUUGGAUCAGAAAAGGAUGAAGACAUUUAUAUGUCCAAUGACAGUACGAGUAAUGAUGAUCUAAAGAUACAAAAUAAACAAACUGCAAAGACAUGAAGGAAGAAUAAAAGAUACAAAAUCAUUUCCUGAUGAUGAGUCUAUAUACAAUCUAUACGUGACAAUUUCAAGUGUCCCCUCCAGAAGGAGAUUUCAUGUCCUGAUCAUUUGAAGUACUAGUUGUUGCUGAUGUCGGAUUUCUUAUGUUUCCAUCUCCCACUGAUGGAGUUGUUGGCAAAAUUUCAGACGUACAAGCUUCUUCUUUGAUGGAGCUGUUGGGAUCAAUGUUGGCCCCAAUCAUCUGAUCAACCAAAACAUAAAGAUUGUUACUAACUUUUAACACCACUGGUUGAGAUUUAUGCAGUCUCGCGUGAAUUUCCAUCAAUCAAUAAUCGAAAUAGGAUAUGCUUACUUGAAGAGGGACGGCUGCUAUGGGAUUUUUUUCAUCAUUUCGAGCAAUCUCUGCAAUUCUUGCACCUGUUUUCUUAGCAGUGUUUGUGUUGAAUAAGGCCGCAGUAAUCUAAUUGAACAAAAAGAUGAAGAUUGUUACUCGCUUAAAUAAAAACGAAUGAGUGCAGCCAUUUUGAAUAUGAUCUGCUUACUUUAACAUGCCUGGCCACUAUGAGAGAAUUGACAGAAGCAUUUGCAAACGGUUUUCCCUUAUCAUCUAUGCAUGUAACCAUACAUGUUGCCUUUGCACGACAGUGACGACCAGCACCAUCAACCAGACUUUUUAUCGACAUUAAAUGUAUCUCAAAUUCUCCCUACAUGCAUAUAGGAAAUUCGAAUAAACGGCACACACACACACACACAACACAAAUCAAAAGAUAUGAUUUAACCUUGAUGUGGAUGGGACCGUCUGGAGUAAGACUCACAAUGUCUGAUACAGAACCCGAUGCAGAAAGUAUGAUAACAGUUUUACGACGAUUUUCCACAGAUAUAUUGUAUAGAACCUCUACCACAUCCUGCAAAUCAUAUGUUCAGUAAAUGUAAUACAAAAUUGCAUCUGAAAUGUUAACAUUAGUCAGUUCAUGUAAUACCUGGCGAGCAUUCAACUCAAUCACAUGAGAAGGUCAUUUUGGUUUAUACACAUACCUGAUGCGAUGCUAGAAGUAAAAUAGAUGAUAUUACUAGGGUAUCAUCCCACAAAUGCAUACAAGUAGUACAAUCCAAGAACUAAAUUGUAGAAAAACAUUAGAGGAAAUAAAUGUUCAUUUUUAACAUAAAACAGAAGAGAUCCAAUACAAGAAGAAGACAUGAUCCAUGAACUUGUGUGACUUUCAUGACUUUAACCAAACCAAUCAGAGGUUAACAAUGGUGGGCUUAAAGUCAACUAUAAUAACCUUUUCCAAGCUAGGAAGAAACAAAUUUGCAAACUCAACAUGUGCAGGAUGAGCCCCAUACUCUGCAAUGGCUUCCACACUAUCAAAGGUUGAUUCAAACACAUGAGUAAAACCUUGGUGCAGGUUUUCAGCACUUACAUCCGUGCCCCUAUAAUACAUAUACGAGGAUUGUUAAUUUCAUAGAUCUAGAUCUUAGAAUUCUACAAUUUUGGUUGAUUGGAAAGAGAUCCAGAUUCUGCAAAUCGAAAAGGAAAACAGGGUUGAAUGAAAUAGUGAGUAG